rnacentral:rRNA from 1 species
UACGUAUGGUGCAAGCGUUAUCCGGAUUUACUGGGCGUAAAGGGAGCGCAGGCGGCGCGCCAGGUCUGAUGUGAAACCCCGGGGCUCAACCCCGGGCAUGCAUUGGAAACUGGCGGGCUGGAGUGCCGGAGAGGUAAGCGGAAUUCCUAGUGUAGCGGUGAAAUGCGUAGAUAUUAGGAGGAACACCAGUGGCGAAGGCGGCUUACUGGACGGCAACUGACGCUGAGGCUCGAAAGCGUGGGGAGCAAACAGG